rnacentral:rRNA from 1 species
AUGCCGUUCCUGAGCCCCCUCCCGGGCGACGACGCCGACGACUACUACUACGGCUACGACGCCGGGUACCGCCGCGGCGGCGGCAGCGGCACCGGCGGGAAGAGCGCCAAGAAGGACAGGGGCAUCUUCUCCUGCCUCCCCUGCUUCACCCCCUUCUCGCCCGGGGCGGUGGACCCGAUAGCGCACCGCCGCCUCCUCUCCUCCGACUCCAGCGACAGCGACAACGUCGCCGCCACCGACAUCACCGCCGAUCUCGCCCGCCUCCGCCUGCGCUACUCCCGCCUCGCCGCCGGCCCGCCCGUCCGCCCGCGCGACGUCCCCGCCCUCGUCGCCCGCACGGACGACCCGCCGCUCGCCGUCGCCGCGCUCUCCUGGCUCGGCGGCGACCUGCGCCCGUCCUGCAUCCUCGCCCUCCUCCCGGCGCUGUUCCCGUCCCUGCGAACAGGCGAGUCCGAGGGCGACCUCUUCCUCCCCUCCAACGAGCGUCAGUCGCAGGCGCUCUCCGCCGCCAGGCGCCGCCUCCAGGCCCGCGAGGCCGCGCUGGACGGCGAGGUGGCCGAGUACCAGUCCACCUACGCCAUGAAGCUGGCGUGCGAGAAGACCAAGGAGGGGUUCGCCGAGACGGCGGCCGAGGAGGUGUGCAAGAUGGCGCGCGCCGCGCGGCGUGCCGACAAGCUGCGGUGGCGCGCCGUGGAGGCCGCCGUCAAGGAGGUGCUCACGCCGGCGCAGGCCAAGGAGUUCCUCAAGGCCGUCGAGGACGUGUCCGGCAAGGCCGGGCGGCACGGCGCGAGGUGGCAGGCGCGCGCUGGGCCCCUCUCGGUGCCCGCCGAGGCGUUCGAGCGUAUGCGUACCAAUGCCAGAGCAGCCGCAGAUGAUGCGUGGUGA